rnacentral:rRNA from 1 species
AGUGAACGCUGGCGGUAGGCCUAACACAUGCAAGUCGAACGGCAGCACAGGAGAGCUUGCUCUCUGGGUGGCGAGUGGCGGACGGGUGAGGAAUACAUCGGAAUCUACUUUUUCGUGGGGGAUAACGUAGAGAAACUUACGCUAAUACCGCAUACGACCUACGGGUGAAAGCAGGGGAUCUUCGGACCUUGCGCGAUUGCAUGAGCCGAUGUCGGAUUAGCUAGUUGGCGGGGUAAAGGCCCACCAAGGCGACGAUCCGUAGCUGGUCUGAGAGGAUGAUCAGCCACACUGGAACUGAGACACGGUCCAGACUCCUACGGGAGGCAGCAGUGGGGAAUAUUGGACAAUGGGCGCAAGCCUGAUCCAGCCAUACCGUGUGGGUGAAGAAGGCCUUCGGGUUGUAAAGCCCUUUUGUUGGGAAAGAAAUCCAGCUGGUUAAUACCCGGUAGGGAUGACGGUACCCAAAGAAUAAGCACCGGCUAACUUCGUGCCAGCCGCCGCAGUAA